GUUUUCGUGGUGUAGUGUUUAUCACAUCCGCCUAACACGCGGAAGGUCCUUCGUGCGAUCCCGGACGGAAACA
rnacentral:tRNA from 1 species